rnacentral:rRNA from 1 species
GAUCAUUGAUGGGGGUAGAGCACUGAAUGUGCGCGGGGGCCACAAAGCCUACCAAACGCUAUCAAACUUCGAAUACCAUACAAUGCAGACCAUGGGAGUCAGUCCGCGAGAGAUAAGUUCCGCGGGCAAAAGGGGAACACCCCAGAUCAACCGCUAAGGUCCCCAAGUUCACGUUAAGUGGAGAAGGAUGUGGAAUUGCACAGACAACCAGGAUGUUGGCUCAGAAGCAGCCACACAUUUAAAGAGUGCGUAAUAGCUCACUGGUCGAGUGAUUGUGCGCCGAAGAUGUCCGGGGCUAAACGUGACACCGAAGCGAUGGGUGCAUCUGAAAGGAUGCGCGGUAGAGGAGCAAUGUGCAGAGGCAGAAGCCGUAUCGAGAGGCACGGUGGACACUGCACAAGAGAGAAUGCCGGUAUGAGUAGCGAGAGGCAUGCGAGAAACAUGCCCGUCGAAAGCCCAAGGUUUCCUGGGGAAGGUUCAUCCGCCCAGGGUAAGUCGGGGCCUAAGCCGAGGACGGAAGUCGUAGGCGAUGGACAGCAGGUGUAGAUUCCUGCACUACCGAUGGAAUGAAGCAGUGACACAGAAGGAUAACUCGAGCAGGGUGAUGGUCAACCCUGUGCAAGCAUCAAGGUUGGGUUGUAGUGAAGUACGCAACCCUAUAAGCUGAGGUGUGAUGCGGACCGAAAUUUCAGUAGGGAAGCGAGUGAGUUCACGCUGGCGAGAAAAGCUGCUAGUACAUCCAAAGGUACCCGUACCGGAAACCGACGCAGGUGGGCGAGGAGAGAAUCCUGAGACGAACGGGAGAACCCUUGUUAAGGAACUCGGCAAAAUGACCCCGUAACUUCGGGAUAAGGGGUGCCUGCGAGAGCAGGCCGCAGAGAAUAGUCACAAGCGACUGUUUAGCAAAAACACAGGUAUCUGCGAAAGCGAGAGCUGACGUAUAGGUGCUGACACCUGCCCGGUGCUGGAAGGUUAAGGGAACAUGUUAGAGCAAUCGAAGCAUCGAACCGAAGCCCCAGUAAACGGCGGCCGUAACUAUAACGGUCCUAAGGUAGCGAAAUUCCUUGUCGGGUAAGUUCCGACCCGCACGAAUGGUGUAACGACUUGUGAGCUGUCUCAACAGGGGGCCCGGUGAAAUUGAAGUAUGGGUGAAGAUGCCCAUUACCCGCGACUGGACGGAGAGACCCCGUAGAGCUUUACUGCAGCCUGAUAUUGAGUUUCGGUAACUGAUGCACAGGAUAGGUGGGAGUCUGAGAGACAUGGGUUUCGGCUCAUGUGGAGACGGUGUUGGGAUACCACUCUUCGGUUACUGAAAUUCUAACAUAGCUCUGUGAAACCAGAGGAUGGACAGUGUCAGGUGGACAGUUUGACUGGGGCGGUCGCCUCCGAAAGAGUAACGGAGGCGCCCAAAGGUACCCUCAGAAUGGAUGGAAACCAUUCGAAGAGCGCAAAGGCAGAAGGGUGCCUGACUGCGAGAUUGACAAAUCGAGCAGAGACGAAAGUCGGGCUUAGUGAUCCGGCGGUAUUGAGUGGAAAAGCCGUCGCUUAACGGAUAAAAGCUACCUCGGGGAUAACAGGCUGAUCUCCCCCAAGAGUCCACAUCGACGGGGAGGUUUGGCACCUCGAUGUCGGCUCGUCGCAUCCUGGGGCUGAAGCAGGUCCCAAGGGUUUGGCUGUUCGCCAAUUAAAGCGGCACGCGAGCUGGGUUCAGAACGUCGUGAGACAGUUCGGUCCCUAUCCAUCGUGGGCGUAGGAGUCAUGAGAGGAGCUGUUCCUAGUACGAGAGGACCGGAAUGGACGCACCACUGGUGCAACUGUUGUCGUGCCAACGGCAUAGCAGGGAAGCGAAGUGCGGAUGGGAUAAACGCUGAAGGCAUCUAAGCGUGAAGCCCACCUCAAGAAUAAG